AUUUAGUUGCAUGAAAAACAAUAAGUAUAUUUAAAUUUAUUCUCAUCACUUUUGCGGAUGACCUUAAUAAUCUUUACCUAUAAAAUGAAUUUUUAAAAAAAUUAUAUAUUGUAUAAAUCGUUCUAUAUAGAUCUAUAGACAUUUUAACCCUCUCAGUCCCAAAUAAUUAUCAAAACCCUAUUUUUAGCUCACCUGGCCUGAAGGGCCAAGUGAGCUUUUCUCAUCACUUGGCGUCCGUCGUCCGUCGUCCGUCGGCGUCGUCGUCGUCGUCGUCCGUCGUCGUUAGCUUUUUACAAAAAUCUUCUCCUCUGAAACCACUGGGCCAAAUUUAACCAAACUUGGCCACAAUCAUCAUUAGGGUAUCUAGUUUAAAAAAUGUGUCCAAUGACCCCGCCAACAAACCAAGAUGGCCGCCAUGGCUAAAAAUAGAACAUAGUGGUAAAAUGUAGAUUUUGGCUAAUAUCUCUGAAACCAAAGCAUUUAGAGUAAAUCUGACACAGGGUAAAACUGAUAAUCAGGUCAAGAUCUAUCUGCCCUGAAAUUUUCAGACAAAUCUGACAACCUGUUGUUGGGUUGCUGCCCCUGAAUUGGUAAUUUUAAGGAAAUUUUACAGUUUUUGGUUAUUAUCUUGAAUAUUAUUAUAGAUAGAGAUAAACUGUAAACAGCAAUAAUGUUCAGCAAAGUAAGAUCUACAAAUAAGUUGGGAUGACCAAAAUUGUCAGUCGACCCCUUUAGGAGUUAUUGCCCUUAAUAGUCAAUUUUUAACAAUUUUUCGUAAAUUUUUGUUAUCUUUUACAAAAAUCUUCUUCUCUGAAACUACUGAGACAAAUUUAACCAUACUUGGCCAUAAUCAUUAUUAGGGUAUCUAGUUUAAAAAAUUUAUCCGAUGACCCCGCCUUCCAACCAUCAUGGCCGACUUGGUUAAAAAUUGAACAUAGGGGUAAAAUGCAGUUUUUGGUUUAUAUCUCUGAAACUAAAGCAUUUAGAGCAAAUCUGACAAGGAUAAAAUUGUUCAUUAGGUCAAGAUCUAUCUGCCCUGAAAUUUUCAGACCAAUCAGGCAACACGUUGUUGGGUUGUUGCCCCUGAAUUGGUAAUUUUAAGAAAAUUUUGCAGCUUUUGGUUAUAAUCUUGAAUAUUAUUAUAGAUAGAGAUAAAUUGUAAACAGCAAUAAUGUACAGCAAAGUAAGAUCUACAAAUAAGUCAACAUGACCAAAAUUGUCAAUUGACCCCUUAAGGAGUUAUUGCUCUUUAUAGUCAAUUUUUUACAAUUUUCAUAAAUUUUGUAAAUUUUUGUACAUUUUUUCAAAAUAUUUUCCACUGUAACUACUGGGCCAAGUUCAUUAUAGAUAGAGAUAAUUGUAAGCAGCAAGAAUGUUCAGUAAAGUAAGAUCUACAAACACAUCACCAUCACCAAAACACAAUUUUGUCAUGAAUCCAUCUGUGUCCAUUGUUUAAUAUGCACAUAGACCAAGGUGAGCGACACAGGCUCUUUAGAGCCUCUAGUUGUAAAUCUACAAAUGUUAUAAAAAUACAUGUCCACUGUUUUACAAUACAUGGCAUCCAACCCAUAUCACCAUACAGGGCUAAAUUAGAAGUGUACUUUCCAACAUCCUUAAAAAAACGCAUUGCCCUAUUUUUUACAACACUAAUGCAAGUGUAUUCUUUACUUCCCAAUAUUGCAGCACCAUAAUCAAUAACAGACAAAACAAGAGUGUCGAAAAGCUUAGUAAAAGUAGAAUACUCAAAACCACCAUUUGCUCUGCAUUUAGCAAUAAGUAAGCCUAAUGAUCUGCUGGCUGUUUUUGCUACAAUUUUCGCCAUCUCAUUAUAAUCCAAAAACUCAUUUAAUAAUAAAGCAAGAUACAUAUAUUUUGAUACAAUAUCUAACUGGUUUCCGUUCAACAUAAAUUCAAAAUGUGUUUGUGUCUCAGAUUGUGUUCUAAAACGAACAAUUUUUGACUUGUCAAUAUUUACAACUAAGACAUUCAGUACAUUACACCAUAUACUUAAAACAUCUAAAAAAAUUUGAAGGUCAUUUUCAUUUUCGUCUAAUAACACCACAUCAUCCGCAUAUAACAAUAUACAAAGUUUUUCACCAUUUACAUUUAUACUAAUAUCUUAUCUCUUAAUGUCAUCAACUAAGUUAUUUGUGAAAAUAUUAAAUUAAACGGCGAUAAUAUACAGCUAGCCUUGUUUUAGGCCAGAAUUUACUCCAAACCAAUCAGUCAAAUUGCAAUUCAAUGCUGUAGGAUUUUUAUAUAAUUCAACUGGAAUAUCAUCAACGCCCGGAGCUUUUCCACAUUUUGCUAUUUUCACCACAUUAUACACUUCGCUAGUGGUAAUUUCACCAUCUAAAAUUUCAUCCCAAAUUAUAUCAUUAUUACAAUUUUCUAUUUCAUUACUAUUAUCGCUAUUUUUAUUUAACAUUUCCCUCAAAAUCAUAUUUCCAUUUAUUAAUAACCAUAUUUUUAUCAUCAUAAAUUGAUCCAUCACUUAAUUUAAUCUCCAUUGGAAUAAUAUUUUGACGCUCGCUCCCUACUUCCAAUUUUCCGCCAAAAUUCCUUUUGGUUUCUAUGCGAAUUGAUUAAUUCCUCCUGCAUUGAAUGCCAGUAUUGACGUUUUGAUCUUUGGACUCCUCGGUCAAAUAAUUUUCGUUUUUGUACAAAUAUAUGACGAUGUUCCUUUUUCUCACUACUAAGACUACAUUUAUUCCAAUUUUCUCCGCAUUACAUACACCAUUCCACAACAUAGUAAGCUUGUGAUUCCACCACGGUUUUUUUUACAUUUUCUAGCUUUAUUGUUGAAUGCAUUGCUGAUACGAAUUUCUUUACUUGGUAACUUUUCAGACAUUUCGGUUUUCAUUACAAAUACAAAGUUUUCAUACACUUUAUCAAUAUUUUGUUGUGAAGCUUCAGAUUGUUCUAUAUUAAAAUAUCACACGAUUAAUUUCUGUUACAACAGACUGGUAUACUCUUGGUAUCAUAUUUAAGUUUUAAAACAGUUUGACUUUUGUCUAUAAUUUUACUGACUUGGUCUAUAACUGAAAAAUAUAGGAACAUAUUCCAUGUCAAUAGUGAAUGAUCAGGUACUAUUUUACGAAGAUCAUAUCUACCGGUUUCGCCAAGACUUUGAAUGAUAGUAGUAGCUCUUGUUACGCUAAAGGAGUUAUAAAUGAGUCCAACAUCUCAUAUGGUAAAACACAGUAGUCUACUACACUGGAACCGCGUGUCGAGACAAAAGUAAAGUUGUUACUUAUAGAUUUCCGACCAUUAAAUAUGCAACAGUUAACAUCAAUUAGAAAGUCACAAAAAAUGCUACCAUAUCCGUUUGUCUGAAAGUCGACUAUAUCACGUUCCUGUAAGCAAUCUAUUCCUUCGAUUGAAUCCGAGAAAUCAGAACAACGGCUGUUAAAUCACCACACAGAUAGAACAAAUUACCUUGUGGGAUGGUGCAUAUAUGUGUCAUUAAUGUUUCCAUAAAUUCGUGCACAUUGUCUGCUCUUGUUGAGUUUUCUGGUGGCAGGUAGACGACGCAAACGUAAAACAUUAUAUAAAUAACACAUAGCUGAGAGGGUGAUAGAGCAGAUUGUUACCCCGAGAAAACAUUGUCAACUGAGGCAAAGCCAAGGUUGACAAUGUCUUUUCGAGGGGUAACAAUCUGCUCUAUCACCUUCUCAGAUAUGUGCUAUUUAAUUUAUUAUACUGAAUGUUCUGUCAUUACUGUCUACCAAAUUUCAAAUUCAUAGAAAUGAACUAUGACGUCUUGUACAUAACAACCAUCCGUAUUUAAUGAAGCGCACACUUGAUCAAGCGUCUCCGUGAAGGGUAAUAGAGUAUUUGCCAUAUGAUAGAGUAAAUUGUCUCCCUCGUAUCAACUAAUCAAAAUCUGGCAUUUUGACAUGAAGUAUUAUAUAAAUAACACAUAGCUGAGAGGGUGAUAGAGCAGAUUGUUACCCCAAGAAAACAUUGUCAACUGAGGCGAAGCCAAGGUUGACAAUGUCUUUUCGAGGGGUAACAAUCUGCUCUAUCACCCUCUCAGAUAUGUGUUAUUUAAUUUAUUAUACUGAAUGUUCUGUUAUUACUGUCUAUUAAAUUUCAAAUUCAAAGUAAUAAACUAUGACGUAUUGUACAUAACAACCGUCCGUAUUUAAUAAAGCGCACACCUGAUCAAGCGUCUCCGUGAAGGGUAAUAGAGUAUUUUAUAUAGGAUAGAGUCGUAUUUAAUAAAGCGCA